UACGUAGGGUGCAAGCGUUAAUCGGAAUUACUGGGCGUAAAGCGUGCGCAGGCGGUUUUGUAAGUCUGGCGUGAAAUCCCCGGGCUCAACCUGGGAAUUGCGAUGGAGACUGCAAGGCUAGAAUCUGGCAGAGGGGGGUAGAAUUCCACGUGUAGCAGUGAAAUGCGUAGAGAUGUGGAGGAACACCGAUGGCGAAGGCAGCCCCCUGGGUCAAGAUUGACGCUCGUGCACGAAAGCGUGGGGAGCAAACAGG
rnacentral:rRNA from 1 species